rnacentral:rRNA from 1 species
CGAACGGGUGAGUAACGCGUGAGGAACCUGCCUCAAAGAGGGGGACAACAGUUGGAAACGACUGCUAAUACCGCAUAAGCCCACGGCUCGGCAUCGAGCAGAGGGAAAAGGAGCAUCCGCUUUGAGAUGGCCUCGCGUCCGAUUAGCUAGUUGGUGAGGUAACGGCCCACCAAGGCGACGAUCGGUAGCCGGACUGAGAGGUUGAACGGCCACAUUGGGACUGAGACACGGCCCAG